rnacentral:lncRNA from 1 species
CAUCUGCACUGCUUCAAAGAAGUAUCUAUUUCAAUCUGUUCCUAUAAGUUAGUUAUUGAGAAACAACAGAUAAUCCCAAAAACAAGUUGACCUUUAGUGUUCCUUGAGCUUAGACGUGAAGGACCCUCGGGACUGAGCCUCGUGCCAAAUAACUCGUUACAAAAAGAGCUAGAAUUCCAGACCACACUGAAGCUUCAUGAGAUCGGGUGGCCGACUCUGGAGCACAGGCUGUUGCUUCCUGGUCUGGUGAUGAAUCCUCCAUAGUCUGCAGACAAAAGCUGACUCAGAGCCUCAGCUGGGUGGUUGCCCCCACCCUGGGGAGCCCAAGGGGAGGCACCCCCUGAGAUGUUCCAGGGCCCCAGGGUUCAGGCCCCGUGGCGACUGUGUAACCGUGGCUGUCAACAUUCACCUAAAAUUCUUCAGGGUCCUGGAAA